rnacentral:ribozyme from 1 species
ACUCGACUGAGCGAGUAUAAAUAGUCCUUAGGCUCAGUGCGGCGCGCGGUCAUCAUGACGCGCGCGUGGAG